rnacentral:misc_RNA from 1 species
GAUGAAGAACGCAGCGAAAUGCGAUAAGUAGUGUGAAUUGCAGAAUUCAGUGAAUCAUCGAAUCUUUGAACGCACAUUGCGCCCCUCGGUGUUCCGUGGGGCAUGCCUGUUCGAGCGUCAUUUACCCCUCAAGCACUGCUUGGUGUUGGGCGUCUGUCCCGCUUCGCGCGCGGACUCGCCCCAAAGGUAUUGGCAGCGGUCGUGCCAGCUUCUCGCGCAGCACAUUGCGCUUCUCGAGGCGGUCGAUCGGCGUCCACGAAGCUCACCUCCACCGUUUGACCUCGGAUCAGGUAGGGAUACCCGCUGAACUUAAGCAUAUCAAUAAGCGGAGGA